AACGUAGGACACAAGCGUUAUCCGGAAUUACUGGGCGUAAAGGGCGUGCAGGCGGUUGGGUAAGUUAGGCGUGAAAGACUUCGGCUAAACCGGGGGAGGUCGUCUGAUACUGCUCAACUUGAGUAUGGUAGAGGCGUGUAGAAUUCCGGGUGUAGUGGUGAAAUGCGUAGAGAUCCGGAGGAAUACCAGUGGCGAAGGCGACUUACUGGACUGUAACUGACGCUGAGGCAUGAAAGCGUGGGGAGCAAACAGG
rnacentral:rRNA from 1 species